AUUCUAUAUGUUUCUUCAGGGCAACAACUAAAGAAAUCUUGAAUUCAAGCUGAGAAAUUGUCCAACUAGUCAGGGUUCCGUUCAAACCUCGAAUUAGGGUUGGAAGAAGUGGGGAGUUGGCCAAUAGGGGGGAAUUUCUGUUAUUGCAACGUGUUGAAGCUGGAGAAACGUGGUGUAAUGUUAAUAGAUCAUAUCGGCUGCUCAAAAGUUGUAGAUGGUUUGGUGUUUUAUGGUCUAAAGCACCAUGUGAAGAAAGUAUUGAUGUUUUUCUUCCAGAAGUUGAGGUAUUUGUUCAAGUCCAGAAACAUGUAUCAAGUAAGUUUGCUUAUUAUUACUGAUUUAUAUUUGGAUGGUUGUUGUC